rnacentral:rRNA from 1 species
GUGAGGAAUAUUGGUCAAUGGGCGCGAGCCUGAACCAGCCAAGUAGCGUGAGGGAUGACUGCCCUAUGGGUUGUAAACCUCUUUUGCAGGGGGGUAAAGUGGUUCACGUGUGGACCAUUGCAAGUACCCUGCGAAUAAGGAUCGGCUAACUCCGUGCCAGCAGCCGCGGUAAUACGGAGGAUCCGAGCGUUAUCCGGAUCUAUUGGGUUUAAAGGGAGCGUAGGCGGGGGUUUAAUGCAGCUGUGAAAUGCCGUGGCCCAACCAUGGAACUGCAGUUGAAACUGGACCUCUUGAGAGUACAUAAGGAAGGCGGAAUUCGUGGUGUAGCGGUGAAAUGCAUAGAUAUCACGAAGAACUCCGAUUGCGAAGGCAGCUUUCCGGGGUACAUCUGACGCUGAAGCUCGAAAGUGCGGGAAUCAAACAGGAUUAGAUACCCUAGUAGUCC